UACGAAGGGGGCUAGCGUUGCUCGGAAUCACUGGGCGUAAAGCGCACGUAGGCGGGUCGUUAAGUCGGGGGUGAAAUCCUGGAGCUCAACUCCAGAACUGCCUUCGAUACUGGCGAUCUUGAGUCUGGGAGAGGUGAGUGGAACUCCGAGUGUAGAGGUGAAAUUCGUAGAUAUUCGCAAGAACACCAGUGGCGAAGGCGGCUCACUGGCCCGGUACUGACGCUGAGGUGCGAAAGCGUGGGGAGCAAACAGGG
rnacentral:rRNA from 1 species